AGUGAACGCUGGCGGUAGGCCUAACACAUUCAAGUCGAACGGCAGCACAGUAAGAGCUUGCUCUUACGGGUGGCGAGUGGCGGACGGGUGAGGAAUACAUCGGAAUCUACUUUUUCGUGGGGGAUAACGUAGGGAAACUUACGCUAAUACCGCAUACGACCUACGGGUGAAAGCAGGGGAUCUUCGGACCUUGCGCGAUUGAAUGAGCCGAUGUCGGAUUAGCUAGUUGGCGGGGUAAAGGCCCACCAAGGCGACGAUCCGUAGCUGGUCUGAGAGGAUGAUCAGCCACGCUGGAACUGAGACACGGUCCAGACUCCUACGGGAGGCAGCAGUGGGGAAUAUUGGACAAUGGGCGCAAGCCUGAUCCAGCCAUACCGCGUGGGUGAAGAAGGCCUUCGGGUUGUAAAGCCCUUUUGUUGGGAAAGAAAAGCAGCAGGUUAAUACCCCGCUGUUCUGACGGUACCCAAAGAAUAAGCACCGGCUAACUUCGUG
rnacentral:rRNA from 1 species